rnacentral:lncRNA from 13 species
GGCCGCCCGUCACAUCUCUGCAGUCCCCGCAGCCGUAGCCGCAGCUCCCAGCAUCGCGUCCACGGUCUGAGGGAGCGCCGGACUCCAAAUCCACCGCGCCCGUUCCUCUACCGGCGCCGGCCUGGACUCCUCCCUCCAAGGUCGCGAAACCGCGCAGCCCCGCCCCGCCGCGGACCAGUACGCAGGCGCGAGCCUCAAGGGGCUACGGUGCCCGCCCCACCCCGUGAUCCGGCUGAACCCCGCCUCCGGCCCUGCCCCGCCCUCGCGCCCUGCUUUCCCAAGCUCCGCCCCACUUCGGGCCCCGCCCCCUCCACUGACCUUGCUUGGCUGCCUCCUGACUCAGGUUUCCGCUCAGCCCACGCAGUCUUGCGGUCGACCUCACCUCUAGCCGUCCCUUGGACUACAUUUGCUGUUCGACCGUGGUCAAACCUGACAGCUCCUUCUCCAGGAUGUGAAAAAUGUCAGAAGAUGAGGCCUUACCAGGCUGCCUUCCUACAAGGUUCAAAUUUGCAGAGCUCGGGGGAUUUUGGAUCUUUGCCCAGGACACGUGCUCUUCUGUCAGCUGCAGUGCCUGUGUUCGCUGUGGAUCCUUUGGGCCUCUGGAUUUGUGACUAGAGCCAUCCUGGGUCCCCAAGAGAAGGAGACAAGGCCAAACACAUCAGCAUCCUCACCUGUGCUCGGGGAGAGGCAUGGAGGAAGGCAGUUUGGCCAGGCUGCUUUCAAGGAUGGCUUAAGCUCAAGCCCUGCAUCCCCAAGGCUUCCUGGAGGAGGGAAAGGUGGGCUUGGGCAUGGCCACCCUGGCCUGGGUUGGCAGGAGAUGGGAAGGGCUGAAGCAGCACCUGGUGGGGUAUGACCACAGUCCCGCCAGAAACUACUUACUUCAGAAGCCCCAUGUCUGCCCACACCCUGAAUUCCCACUCAUGGGGUGGGCUUGGAGAGACUCAUCACCUUCGGGCUUUUUUGCCUAUGUUCCCAACCACCUUUCAGAUCUUUGUGCCCUGUGAACAGACACUGCAUGCAGGGCCUCUCCUCUGCCCUCCUUCCCACCCACCCCACAGCCUCCCCUGCACCCCUGCCUUCCUUUAAGCAACUCAACUGCCUCUGGGAAGAGAGGACAAAGGGAGUGGCUGAAUCCUGUCUGAAGUCAAGGUGGGCCUUUGGCACAGUCACUGAGCUUGGAUAGGAAUCAAAGUCUGCCCAUCCCUGGCAGUUGGCCUGGCAGAAGUUAGACCACAGCCCUCAAAGGCCUAAAUCCUUCUCAGGCUUGCUUUGCUCUGCCCAAUCCUCAGGGUGUCCCUCAAGCUCUCUGCUGAUUUUCUACAAUGAAUAUGUACCACUUUUGGAAUCACAGAAACAUGUAAAUAAAAAUGUUACUUCUACCUCCUUCA